AUGAGAGUAUUUAUGUACUAUGCUCUAUGGAUGUUGACAAUUUUGAUUGCAGGAGCUGGCAAAACAAGCUUGCCGCGGCUCAGACCAGACUUGCUUGGCAUACAUGGCUGCAAUGCAUACAUGUGGCGGGAAACAGGCAGGGAAGCUUGGGACUGGAUAUGCAAUUAUGCCUUUGAAAAACGUGCAUCUCCGCAUCAGAAUUCUUUUAUGGACUGUUGUUGUGGUGCUGACGACGACAACGAAGUGUGCAGAUGUUUGGUAUGGAGAGAAAUUCAGAAGGACAGGGAGAACUCAUCUCUUCAGAACUAA
rnacentral:rRNA from 1 species